rnacentral:tRNA from 1 species
GGGCCUGUAGCUCAGUUGGUAGAGCACUUCCCUUACAAGGAAGGGGUCGUCGGUUCGAGGCCGGCCGGGCCCACCG